rnacentral:rRNA from 1 species
UACAGAGGGGGCAAGCGUUGUUCGGAAUUACUGGGCGUAAAGGGCGCGUAGGCGGCCUGUUAAGUCGAACGUGAAAUCCCCGGGCUCAACCCGGGAACUGCGUCCGAGACUGGCAGGCUCGAAUCCGGGAGAGGGAUGUGGAAUUGCCGGUGUAGUGGUGAAAUGCGUAGAGAUCGGCAGGAACACCCAGGGGGAAACCAGU